GGAUGAAGAACGUAGCGAAAUGCGAUAAGUAAUGUGAAUUGCAGAAUUCAGUGAAUCAUCGAAUCUUUGAACGCACAUUGCGCCCGCCAGUAUUCUGGCGGGCAUGCCUGUUCGAGCGUCAUUUCAACCAUCAAGCCCCCCGGCUUGUGUUGGGGACCUGCGGCUGCCGCAGGCCCUGAAAAGCAGUGACGGGCUCGCUGUCACACCGAGCGUAGUAGAUCUCAUCUCGCUCAGGGCGUGCUGCGGGUUCCGGCCGUUAAACCACCUUCAUAACCCAAGGUUGACCUCGGAUCAGGUAGGAAGACCCGCUGAACUUAAGCAUAUCAAUAAGCGGAGGA
rnacentral:misc_RNA from 1 species